GUGAAAAGAAUGUUUUAAGAAAAAAGGGGGAAAUGGCUCUAACACUUUGUAAAAUAGAAUAGCACAUUGCUCCUACGUAUAGUUCAUACAUAAUGGAGAACAAGUUAUGGAGCUCAGGAAGCUACUAAAAAUUUUCUAAAUGUCAACUUACAACAGAAAGACGAGGACUGCCCUAAUGCUGUGAUCCAACAGCUACAACAUAGCAACUGGUUUUAAAUAAAGGUAGUACAAAUCACUUGACGACAAAUCUAAAUUUAGCAAUCAACUAAUAAUUGCGAUGCACAAUAUUAUAAUUUAUCUUUAGUUUGUAAAAAAAUGUCAUCAGUACAGUUUCUCAUUAAGCUUCAUCUUCUUAACAUUUUCCCAUUAUAAUGUAUUCUUUUCUCAUAAAUCAACUAGAAAAAUUAUCCUAUAUCCAUAACAAUAGGCAUUGUAAAAUAAAAAAAGCUCAUCAACUUGAAGGAUUUUGUUAACUUUUAGAAAAUAUUCGAUCAGAAGACAAAGAACUAAAUAAUUUUAUGACUACGUUGAUACAAUUUACACUAAUUUAAUAAGCAAAGGCACAAAAUAUUCUAGUUAAUUCAGCAAAACAUUGAAAACUUGACUAAUUUUUAUAAAAGAAAAUUGAUGAAUCCUUUGGAAGGACGAGCAAUCAACAACUUUUUAAGUUAAACAAAAAGUUCUUAACAAAACAAUAUAUAAUCAUCUUUAUUUUUCUUGUCGUUCUUCCACAGAACUACUUUUCCUAAUUUAUCACUGUAAAUAUUUAUUGUCAAAGUAAUUUUAUGUCUCCAUAAUGGUGAAAAUGAAUUACGCUCAACAUUGAACAUCCUUGAUUUUUCACCUUUACUAACUUCUGCAGGCGAGUUCCCAGUCAAGCCACCAGCAUCAGUGAAUUUAGUUAGAGUUGGUUUAAACACCUACAAUGAAAAAAAAAUUCAUGUCAGCUUUUAUUUAAUGAACUGCCAAAGUCAUUCUUGAAGAUAAAGAUUGGA
rnacentral:lncRNA from 1 species